rnacentral:rRNA from 1 species
GACGUAGGGCGCAAGCGUUGUCCGGAUUUAUUGGGCGUAAAGAGCUCGUAGGCGGCCUGUCGCGUCGACCGUGAAAACCCGCAGCUCAACUGCGGGCUUGCGGUCGAUACGGGCAGGCUGGAGUUCGGCAGGGGAGACUGGAAUUCCUGGUGUAGCGGUGGAAUGCGCAGAUAUCAGGAGGAACACCGGUGGCGAAGGCGGGUCUCUGGGCAGUAACUGACGCUGAGGAGCGAAAGCGUGGGGAGCGAACAGG